rnacentral:rRNA from 1 species
CCCUUAGAUGUUCUGGGCCGCACGCGCGCUACACUGACGAUGUCAACGAGUCUCUCCUUCGCCGAAAGGCGCGGGUAAUCUUCUGAAACAUCGUCGUGCUGGGGAUAGAUCAUUGCAAUUCUUGAUCUUGAACGAGGAAUUCCUAGUAAGCGCGAGUCAUCAGCUCGCGUUGAUUACGUCCCUGCCCUUUGUACACACCGCCCGUCGCUACUACCGAUUGAAUGGUUUAGUGAGGACUCCUGAUUGGCGCCGUCGCGCCGGCAACGGAGCAGCGGACUGCCGAAAAGUUGUUCAAACUUGAUCAUUUAGAGGAAGUAAAAGUCGUAACA